CUUCUUCCUUCACCAGUUGACCAACUGGUUUGCCAUUAACAAGUGUAGGGGGAAUAUAUUCUAAGGACAUACCAUUUGCGGCAAGUCUGUUACUCUGGAAGAGACUAGUCCACUGUUUAGGUGGAUCUAACCCUUCCUUUGUAGCAGAUUUUGUAUCAUCAGCUGGUGUUGCUUGUUGCAUGCAGAUCUGGACUCCAUUCUCAGGCUCCAUCGGACCAGUUACAGACUUAAUUGGAGGCUCUGUACUCUUAACAUUUGCUACUGGUAUCACUGAGACUCCAGAUGGUUGUGGAUCUGGUGUUACUUGAAGCAAUGGAACAGUGCUCGCAGCAGGAUUCAACGGAAUAGUAGUUCCUACUAUCGGUAUAGUGGUAACAGCUUUUGGUAUCACCUGAACUCCAGUUGGUUGUGGAUAUGUUGUUGCUUGAGGCAAUGGAACAGCAAUCACAGUAGGAUUUGAUGGAAC
rnacentral:lncRNA from 1 species